UCACAUCAUAUUAAAGCAUCAGUUCCUGUACGAUCACUGAAGUUAAGCAACAUCAAGCCUGGUAAGUACCUAGAUGGGUGACCGCUUGGGAAUACCAGGUUCUGUA